CUACAAACACUCAGUCAAUUACACAUGUAUGGCUGUGUAUUGGCAAGAAUCUGGCGAUGCGAUAUGUAUCAUGAUACAGGGGUAACGAUUCAAUAUAUUGCAGUAUAUUACAAUACUGUAAACAAGGCAAUACAUUGCAAUUUAAAAUUUUAUUUUAGGAGAACUGUCAUAGAAUAAAGACCACAUCAGAAAUACACCAUUUUAGAGUAGGCAAAAACAACAAAUGUAUACUGCCCCAACAAAUGUAUACUGCCCCAAACUUCAUGUGAUUAUCAUAAAGU